GUUAAUCUUGAUGCAUGGUUACUUUAUGUUAUUUUAAUAAUGAUGGAUGCAAUAAGUAAUUUAGAUGCAAAUUUAGAGAGUUAUUUUAAAUAAUUUUAUAUAAUGACAUUGGUGGGUAAUUUAAAUAAAAAUUAGAGGUUACUUUAGGUUAUUUUGUAUAAUGACAUAUUUGACUAAGUUUGACAUAGAUUUUGAGGGUUACUUUAGAGUACUUUUAUAAUGGCAUAUGCGGAUAUUUGUUUUAGAAAAACAAUGAUUAGAGAGAAUAUUUCUAUGGCACGAGAUGAUCUUUUGACCUAGGCUUCAUGCGACUUACUUGAUACAUAGAUAACUAUUAAGCUUAUUCUCUACUUAUGCUUACUUCGGAGGCACAACGGAUUUGUUCAAAUAGGGACGAAGAGGGAAUGAAAGCAAAGACUGCAACUCAAGCACUGUUAACUAGUUCUAAUGUUGUUGAUUCCAAGGGAAAGAUAGAGCUGCCACCAUCUGCUACCUACGGCACAUCUGAGGUCUUACUUGUUGCAAACCUAGAUAAUUCUUAAGUCCUAGAUACACCAUGUAUACACUCAAAAUUAUCACCUUAACUCUCACACGAUGUAAGGUAGAGAAACCACCAUUAAACAAAGAAUUUAUCAUGCUUUAUUUAUUUAAAUAAUAUCUUCAUGCCACCUGUCUAAAGGAUGAGGUCUCUACUCUCAGUGGAGCAUCCAAGACAGAAGGUAGAAGAAGAGCCGACAUCUCCGCCUCCUUCACAUAUACUUAUACCUCUUAUUCUCACUCACCAAAACUAUUUUCUAUGUGAUGAGCAUGUCACUUGUAUUCUUCUUCUUCACCAUGUUUGAAAAUGGCGUAGUGUUGCUCCUUAUAUAGGGUGUAGAGAGGCGGUAGAGAUGGGGAGCACCCCUAUGUAGGCUGGCUAGUGGAGCAUAGCAUCGGCCAUCCCUUGAUUUGGGUUGGGUUAGCUGCACACCCUCUUGGCUCACUUCCUAGGUUGGUGGUUAAGGAGGUGAGGUGGUUUAUGGUUGGUGAGAAACCAACAUUUGAGGUAGGUAACUCCAAGUGGAGCCGUCCGGGCUAUGAGAUUGCACCGCUGGUCCUACUAUUUUGUUUCUUUUUUGCCUUUUCUGUCCAAAAUUCCUACAACGAUUUGAAAUAUAAACUCUUGGAACUUUAUUAGUAAUGAAGGGAGAACAUGAAAAAAACACACAUCUUAUUUACUCCCCCUUCCUGCUUU
rnacentral:lncRNA from 1 species